GAGUUUGAUCAUGGCUCAGAUUGAACGCUGGCGGCAUGCCUUACACAUGCAAGUCGAACAGCAGCACGGGAGCUUGCUCCUGGUGGCGAGUGGCGAACGGGUGAGUAAUGCAUCGGAACGUAUCCUGGAGUGGGGGAUAACGUAGCGAAAGUUACGCUAAUACCGCAUAUUCUGUGAGCAGGAAAGCGGAGGACCUUCGGGCCUCGCGCUCUUGGAGCGGCCGAUGUCGGAUUAGCUAGUUGGUGAGGUAAAGGCUCACCAAGGCGACGAUCCGUAGCAGGUCUGAGAGGAUGAUCCGCCACACUGGAACUGAGACACGGUCCAGACUCCUACGGGAGGCAGGCAGUGGGGAAUUUUGGACAAUGGGGCAACCCUGAUCCAGCCAUGCCGCGUGAGUGAAGAAGGCCU
rnacentral:rRNA from 1 species